AAAUUAAAGUAAAAUCUCAUCAAUACCAACACUCCCCCUUAUGAGAUUUUUGUUGCAGUUGUGGAUCUCAAAUGAGAAUUUAAGAGAAAAAUAGCUUUGAGACUCAAACCCUGAAGAAGGAAAAUAGCUUUUGGGAUUGAGACUCAUUACUUUGUGAAGAUGGAGGACAAUAAGAAAGCAAAAACCCUUGAAUUUUCUAUUUCUUUACAUGGUAUCAGAGUCUACCUUGUUUCAAUGUUAGGCCGCUCUCAGAUAUAUUUUCCUGCAAGCUUCAUGCCCCAAAUGUACAUACUUGGGCAUAAGGGGAGUGUGUUAUUCCACAUUGGUUUGGUUUGGGAUGAGACAUUUGAGAUAACUUUUGGGGUGGAGUUAUGCCCAGUCCAUUUUCUCUACAGGCACAUAUAAUGCCAAUUACAUUCGCGUGAGCUAAUAUUGAUGUAUUUUGUAAAUAUAAACUGUUGCCUCUGUUUAGUGCUAAGGACAAAGGAGGCAUGUAGGAUUAGUAUCUCAACUGUUAAAGAUUCCCAAGGAAUUAUUGACAGGGAAGAAAUGUUUGCUUUUAGCAAAGGGAGAGAAAGUGGGGGAGUCAUGAGGACUUUAGAUUAAAUCAAUGGAAGCAAUAGGUUCUGAUAAACAUUAAGCGUCUUCAAUCAUUAGUAUUUUAUGUUUGUUAAUGCUUUGCAGCAACUAGAUCCUUCAUCUUAUUUGCGUUCAAAGCACUAGUAUGUGAUGUUUCUACGCAUUUUACAUGCUGUAUUGGUAAACAGUAAAUGCCAUAAAGAAUUACAAGCUAACUGCUAGCUUUAGGGUAUAGUUGGAUGGUGCAAAAUAUUUCAUGCUUAUGUUUAUUCUUUAGUUUGUUGUGAGUUGAAGUGUGUAGUAAUACGUAGCCUCCCAUUUGAGUCAAAACACCAAGUAAGAGAUUUAUUUAUCUAAUAUCAUUUCUGUUAUUUAAAUAGCAUGAUUUAAAAUUAUUUACAUUUUACUUCAAAGAUGUGCUCCGAGGCAGGCAUCUGUUCCUUUUGUUUCAGAUUAGCUUAAAUGUCCCUGGUGCUUAUAAGUUUUAGUAACUUCCCCAAUUGUUAUCUGUAUUGGCAAGCAUAACCCACAUGGACUCUUGUGUAACUUCAUGCCAAAAAUGCUAGGGCGUCCCAUUCUUUGAGUCUGUCAGUUUGACAUUGCUCAGAAGAACUACAGACCCUCGUCUUUAUUGCUAUAUUUUUCUCAUCUCAAGCUCGAUAAAGAGAUCCUUAUAAUGUCUUUUGAGUUUCUUCAGGAAAUUCGUUAUAAAAUUUCAUCAUUAUAAUCUUCUUUCUAUUUCAUGCCAUUACUGACUUUCGGCUGAGAGUAGAGUGAAGUUGAAAUACAUCUAUUUCCUAUUUAUAGUCUGAUUCCAAGAUCAAUAUUUUUAGUUUUUUCCUUUCACUUUGAAAAUCUAUGAAGUUUUAUGCCCCACCAGUUCUCCAGAAUACCUCUAAUUCAACUUGUCUAGAAAACCCAAUUCAAGUUGUGCCCUAUGAACUUCAUUUUAGGUUUAACUUCUUUAAAAUAACAGGAAUAGUUAUGGGAAUGAAUUUAGGUUUAACCUGCAGCACUAUUAGGCAUAGUCUACCACUUAAAAUCUAUAUGGAUGUUCUAGCUGCUCUUGUACUAAUUGUCCCUCAUCUGUAUUUUCUGAUUCUGAAGCUCUAUGGCUUUGUUGCUUUGUUGAUUUUUAUGGUUUUAUCUGAAAUUAUAUAGGAAACAUUAAGUUCUGAAAAGUGUAAUGUUAUACAGGCUAAACUUGCCUUGAGAUGACAU
rnacentral:misc_RNA from 1 species